GAAAGCUUUCCAGGACCUGUGAGAUAGAAUCUGUACUUCAGAAAAAUCAUCAGAAUGGUCGGAUGGUUGGAGCAUUGAAACUCAGUAAGCUCCAAAUCAGGAAAAACCAAAUAUUUGAGGACAUCUUUCAUGUCUAUGUUAUCAAGCACUUGCCACAUUAUGAGCUUCAACUUGAUGUACACCACAAGAAAAGAUCUCUUAACAUGCUAACCUUCAUCAUUCUUACUUGGUAACAUCCACAUCUAAUAUAACGUGAGACUUCAGCUUUAUGAGUAAUAUAUUUGUGCUGUAAAAGUUGAAGAGUACCAGAGGAAGAAGAGGAUGUGACUGAGUGAGUGAGGGGAAAAGAAGGCACUCAGAAACUCAUGUAAGGAAAUGUGUGGAGCCAACCUGAGUGUAGGUAUAGAGGGCUGUGCCAGGGAGUGGGUGAGUCUUCCUGGGUAUGCUGAAGGGGCAAUAAAUUUUUAUUAAGGGCAGAGAGAGACACAGUGGAAUGCAUGUACUUAAAUAUGUAAAAUACAGUACUUAAAUAUGUAAAAAAAAUUGAUGUUGGGAGAAAUCAUACAGAAUAUAUACUGAGUCACCUUGCUUUUAAAAAUUUCUGUGUUUCCCAGUUUUCUUCCAGCUUUUCCUUUCUGCUUUUCCUUUCUUCCCUUUAUGCCUGCCUAUUCCUACAGUGAUAAGGUUAUCCUGGCAGUAAGGAAGUUGUGUGAGCCAUAACCAUUGCUAGUAGAAGGACAGUUAUGACUGUUCUGCUGUGUGGAAAGGUUGAUCUGCUCAAAAAUUGCUUCGACUUUUAUUGUAGUUAAUCCAACAGACAGCAGUAACAACAACAAAAAACCCACAAAAACCCCCUCUAACCAAAAGCCAAGAGGCUGCUAAUUGAUUUUUAUUUCUAGUAUUUCAUUUGCAUUUUGUUUACAUUUCACUUAUUUUAGUGCUUCCAUUGCUCUUCAGUCUCAAACAGCUUCACUGAAUAGCCUGUAAAAGAUGUACAAGUUUCUUUCCUUCACAAAGGUUUAAGUCUUCAAACAUAUUCAGCAACUCUCUUGAAAUAUAAUAUUAUAUCUCAGUUAUUCCACUGUAGGAAAACAUACAGGAUGGUAUAGCAUCAUCUAUGAAAACGCCUUUCCUGGGAUGGAUCAUCAGAGUUAAUGGUCUCCAUUGCCCUUUAGGAGAUCUUCCAAGACAUUUAAUGGAUGCUGUAAAGAUGUUGCAGAGCAUGGGGGGUUGAAUUCUGGACAGAAACAGGCAGAAGUGAUCAGAUGGUUAUUUUCUUUCUCCUGUGCCUCAUUGUGGUCAGUUGUAUACCUUAGUAUGUGUCUGUUGUGUUGUUUCUUCCCACUAAGAAUUUUGGCCAAGCUAAUUAUUGACUGUGUGUGCAGUCCAGAGAUGGGAAGUAGGAUCUGCUCUCUGCCUUCAUCUCCUAUUGUAUAUCUUGGUGACUUUUUAUAAUUCGGUGACAAUGCUGUACUUACUCUUUAUUGGUGCUGGAUAAAAUAUUUAUUGAUAGUAUGUGCUAAUUAUAUUUGUGCUAGUAUGUGGAGUAGUAUUUUCAGUAUGUGUAUUUAAGGGAGUAGAAGGCUCCUAAGUACAAGAUUAAAUGGAUGUAGAAAUACUGUGGAUUUUGUGUCUUGUCACACAUAAAAGCCUUCCAUAUUUGGUGAUGGUUUUCCCCUCCUCACCUCCUACUAAAAAUGAAGCCAGUCCUGUAUUUUUCUGUAUUUUUCGAUGUCAUAAUUGAAAACCUGCAGGAUUAGGCCCACAGUGGUUUUCCCACAUUUUGCAC